GAUGAACGCUGACAGAAUGCUUAACACAUGCAAGUCAACUUGAACUUCGGUUUGGGUGGCGGACGGGUGAGUAACGCGUAAAGAACUUGCCUCACAGAUAGGGACAACAUUUGGAAACGAAUGCUAAUACCUGAUAUUAUGAUUAUAUGGCAUCGUAUAAUUAUGAAAGCUAUAUGCGCUGUGAGAGAGCUUUGCGUCCCAUUAGCUAGUUGGAGAGGUAACGGCUCACCAAGGCGAUGAUGGGUAGCCGGCCUGAGAGGGUGAUCGGCCACAAGGGGACGGAGACACGGCCCUUACUCCUACGGGAGGCAGCAGUGGGGAAUAUUGGACAAUGGACCAAGAGUCUGAUCCAGCAAUUCUGUGUGCACGAUGAAGUUUUUCGGAAUGUAAAGUGCUUUCAGUUGGGAAGAAAAAAAUGACGGUACCAACAGAAGAAGUGACGGCUAAAUACGUGCCAGCAGCCGCCGUAAAAC
rnacentral:rRNA from 1 species